rnacentral:lncRNA from 1 species
UGUAGCCAUAGAGCUAGCGUUGUAGAGCUAGCUACGUACCGGUACGUACAAAAAAGUAUUAGGCCUAGGUUACCAGUACUUUAGCCCUAUCGAUGCCAGUGAUGGCUGCACAAGUCCAUUUAGGAUUGCCCAAAUUUUGAUGUAAAGCUGGGACCAAAUUUAGGCUAUGUUUUUACGAAAGAAGCGGUGGAGGAAAUAAGGCAUCAUGAGGUGUCAACAUUUUCAUCGUUUACAAUCCAGCAGACGAGAUGCACGCCCGCGCUGCCAAAGAAGGGCCAGGAACGGGGCCAGGCCCAGGAACAGGAGAUAAAGGUGGUCCAAGGAUAUACUGGCAAGAUGUUGCAACCAGUAAAUUUUCAGUGCCUGCUGCAGCAAUCCCUUUUGAUGGUAUACCAUACACCUAUGUAUCAAAGCUGCUAUAUGAGUGUCACCAUGGGAAGGAUUGGAAGGAAAAGCAAAAUAUUCUCAAGCGAGAUCAACGCAAACAGGUGGGAGAAGUGACAUGGCUAUGUUGGCACUAAAUCCAGGAGACUCAUCCAACCUACAAAGAAAUAGAAUUGUCCAGCAAAACUUAUUGUCAAGGAAGUUUUUAAAUAUCCAGAUUUCAAGGUACAGGAGGAAUAACCUGAAAGCGUCUUCCAAGUCAAGAAAGUUUAGUACAGAUAUUCCUGACUACCUACACAACCGUCCCUUGUCUGUUAUAAAGUUCUGCAUGGACCAAUUAGAGAGUAGCAAACAAGUAAGAAAGGCAGAUGUAAGAACAGGGGAUGCACCAAAUAGUUACAAGGUACAGAGUAUCAGUAGACAAACUGCAUUCUACAAUGUUAGUUUUGACAAACCAGCAUGUGAUUGUUUCACGUGGAGACGAAACGGGAUCCCAUGUAAACAUUUCUUUGCAGUAUUUACACACACAAAUUCCAAAUGGCAAGAUCUACCAGAAUCAUAUAGGUCGUCCCCAUUCCUAAUCAUUGAUGUCCCAGAU